rnacentral:lncRNA from 1 species
CGCUUGCUGAAGAAGAGGAAGGACCGAUUUCCUUUGACGCUUGGGACCAGACCAAAAGGGAAAGCCCAUUUUCCCGCCUCCGCUGGUUCCAUCCCUACUUAGGUAGAAGGCUAAGUGUCAGGAAAAUAUGGGCGCUAACGGAAUCAGUCUCCAGCUCCAAACUGUACUGAGUGGAGGGGCAAGGAAAGAAUGCAAGAAAGGUCCGGAGAGCCCGGAAGAGCCGCCAUGUUACCGGAGUCCUAAGACUCGGCGGGAGCCAGAGCCCAGCAGGACCUCGUGGCGCAACGGUGAAACUGUGGCACACAGAGGAAUAGUGACCUGCCAAGGGUCGCCCAGGAUUCCAACCCAGUUCUGGAGGCUCGAAGUCCAAGAUCAAGGAAUUUCACAGAUGACUGAAAGAAUCAACUCCUUGAAGAGAGAAGGAUGAGAUCCACAGCACAAGUGGUGGAAUUCACUCUGCUAUAAGGAUGCUUCUUCCAUAGAAAUAAGAAAGAUGCAAGAGAAAAUGAGGCAAGGUCACCAGCUGAAAAUAGAAAGAGGUGGUGGAAAGGGAUGUGAGAGAUUUGAGGAGAGAAGUGAAGCUAUGAAUGUUUAAUCCAGAGAAUGAAUAGCUUUGCCAGCCAGUGUUGAGUGCUCCUGUGAGGUCUGAGGUUAUGAAUUAAAACCAGUCAGCCUGCUGUAUGACUUUUCUC